rnacentral:tRNA from 1 species
CCAUCGGUGGUUCAAUGGUAGAAUGCUCGCCUGCCACGCGGGCAGCCCGGGUUCGAUUCCCGGCCGAUGCA